AGUGAACGCUGGCGGUAGGCCUAACACAUGCAAGUCGAACGGCAGCACAGUAAGAGCUUGCUCUUACGGGUGGCGAGUGGCGGACGGGUGAGGAAUACAUCGGAAUCUACUUUUUCGUGGGGGAUAACGUAGGGAAACUUACGCUAAUACCGCAUACGACCUACGGGUGAAAGCAGGGGAUCUUCGGACCUUGCGCGAUUGAAUGAGCCGAUGUCGGAUUAGCUAGUUGGCGGGGUAAAGGCCCACCAAGGCGACGAUCCGUAGCUGGUCUGAGAGGAUGGUCGGCGAAAGUGGAGGAGAGACACAGACAAGGGGACUGCGAGAGGCAGCAGAGGGGUAUGGGAGGCAGUGGGCGGGAGUAUGGAACAACCAGAGGGAGUGGGAGAAAAAAACGUUGGGGGUGUAAAGACGUUUUGAGGGGAAAGAAAAGCAGCAGGUUGAUACCAAGCGGGACUGACGGUAACGGAAAAAGAAGAACCGGCUAACUACGUG
rnacentral:rRNA from 1 species